GCCUUUUCCUCGUGUUUUUCUCUCUCUACAGUCUCCCCCACUUCCACCUCUCACUCCCUUUAAAACCACACCCACUCUCUUGACGCACCACUCCAUCACUUCUCCUCUUCGCAGAAAAAAAAAAAGACCCACGAAAAUGUCCAGAUCGUCCGCUGAACUCAAUUUCUUCGGAAUCGAGAAGGGGAAAAAGCCUCUCGAUCGUAGAAGCUCCUUCAAAGGAAUUCAAAAUGCGAUUUCGAGGAUCGAUCCGCAAGUACUGAAGUCGGUAAUUGCUUCCCGAAUGAGGAACGAAGGAAGAUUGCCUGAAAGCGCCGUUACACCGAAACUGAACGAAACGGUACCGGAUCCAAAAAGUCCGAUUCCGUUACCAUCGAUGCGGAACGGUGACGGCAGGCUCCGUUCUCUUCUCCCCGUCUCCAAUCCCGUUUCAAGAGUCGUCGCCGAAGAUCUCAAAGCAACAUCUCCGUUGACGAUUUUCUAUAAUGGAACGGUCACCGUCUACGACGUUCCUCGAGAUAUGGCCGAGAAGAUCUUAAAGGUGGCGGUAAAGGGAGAUGUCGGAACGGUCGAAUCGGCCGAUACGAAGUUCGCGGCCUCUUCCUCCAGCACCGAAGGACAGCUGCUUGAAAAACUCAACGAUCUGCCGAUUGCAAGGAAACACUCACUGCAGCGCUUCCUGGAAAAGCGCAAAGAAAGGGUGUGAUGGAUGAUAAGCAGGCAUUGGAGAAUUGUGAACGCGGCGUACAAGUAAUUCAAAUUGAUAUGCUUAAAUUACACUUAUUUAUUGUCCAUGGAUCAAAGAUUCACUUCACUUUUGCCAUAUGGAAGCAUGUCCAAUCACGAAAAUAAGAUGUCGGUGGGGUUGGUUUGGUCCUGAGAGGCUAUUAUGCAAAGCUUUUUUUAUUACAAGGAUAUGUUAUUUACGCCCACCCAUUUUGAUAGUUACCACCCUUUCUUUCUACUUUUGAUGAUACAGCAGUACAUCUUUGUACUAUUGCAUUAUUAAAAAGUAGAGAUAAGGGUGUAUCCAUCAAUCAAUGGAUGGUGCAUGAUGCAGGUAUUUGCAAGUAGAUAUCUUUUACUUUUUUUACUCUCAUGUUUUGUUGUUGUUAUGAUACCAUUUUCUUUCAACUUUCAGUGUAUAAACAUUUCCAUAAUCCAAUUUGUUAAUGUGAGCUUUGCAAA